AGAGGCACAGCGUGGGGGCGAGCAGGGAGAAGACCCUUCCCCAGGAGUAGAACUCAGUCACCCAUUAACUCUUCCACUGCAGGGGUGCCCCACAUGCACGCCCUUUGUUUUCCCACAGCACCCCACAUCCUGUUCCUCCCCCGUCACAGGUGAAAGGCACAUUCUUGCAGUUCGUUUAAAGGCCUGCAGAAGACUGCAACAGACUGCAGCAGAGGAAGUCUGAGAUUUCCAAAGCUUUAGGUUUUGCCUUUUCUGAGCACCACCUCGGCCCGUCCAUUGAACUUCUCACUUCAACUGUUUUUGGGGACAGAGAGUCCGGGACAAAAUGACACAGGAGUUGCUCUCAUACUCAAGAUGUUAAGUGACCAUCUGCAAGAACAUCUCAGGAGUGGGACCAACCAGAACAAGGGAGUGGAGUUCAGGGCUUGUCAAGGCCCCUCUGGGGCCGGUGGCCUCUGAUCUGUAGGAGGGUAAUUGCCAACGGGCGGGCUUGUGCACACAUAGCCACACACGCACCCUUCCCAACACGCACACACCCCAGGGCCCAGGAUUCUUUGCACAAGGUGACGCCUGCUCCCUUUGAUGCCCGCCGGAUGUGUUCCCAUUGGGCAAGAACCAGACCUCAAUAAAUCCAGCAUUAUCAAGAGGCCGGUGGUUUGCGAUUGCACCAGCCUGUUAUCUCUGGCCCUGGGUGGGGCUGCUUCGUGGUUCACCAUUGAAAAGCAUUAACUUAUAGGUAGAUCAAAGACCCUUCCGCGCCAGCCGACCUGGGUCCCUUGUGUAUCCCCCAUGGACUGUUCCUGAAGAUGGACUUUAAAGAUAAUAGGUCCCCCAGUCCCAACUCUCUUGUGUCCUCUCCUUAUCAUACAAUAUGUUCCUUGGGGGCCACUCCACAGCCAAUCACCAGGCCUUUCUUGUCCCUCUCUUUGGAUGGCCCAUCUAACAACAGUACAUGGGAGACUGGGCCAUGCAGGCACUCCUGUCCCCUCUGGAUCACAACAAGGAGGAGGUUCUGGAGUGGAGGUCAUUUAUUACACUCUGUCCUCAGAAGGAAGAGACUGCCAGGUUCCCCUUACCUGGCACCAGAAGGCCCCAAUAGACUCCACUGUCUACACGGAUGUUUGAGGCCAGCAACCAGUCUGCAGUGAGGUCACAGUGGACUUCUGAGUUGUGGGUUACCAAGGAGGACUACUCAUUGGCCAGGGAGAGAGUUCAGACUUCCAACAGGGCUGCUUGCAGGCUUCUCGCCUCCCAAGAGUCCCUCAGCCCAUGGAGCAGGUUGGUCAGUGGCCAGGCACAUGGGGACAGGUCCACUGACAGGACUGCACAGGAGAACACAGCCAUGGAUAUGGGGAUGAGCUGAAUGGGAACACAUCCUUCUGUACGUUUUACCUUUGCAAAGGAAAAAAAAAAUAAAAGAGCCACGUUCUGAUCCUUUCAA